CAUGUGACCAUUUUCCCCAGGCCCUCUAGUUUGCAAAGGUGAGGGCAGAGCUCAACCUGUAGUGUAGAGCCUGAGACAGAGGGACCAUGCUCCCUGUGUCCUAAUGGGAAAGGGCUCUUCUUGAGUAGAAAGGUGAUUACCAAGUUUUGCUUUCUCCUAUAGAUGAAACAUGAGCAAAAACAGGGAAAUGGAGACCUGGAAAAGAGAGGGCACAGAAACGGCCAGGUUUUGAGAAGAGAUAGAUUAUUUAAUAAUCUAUUUCCCCAGGAUGGCACCUAGAGGAAAAGAUUAUCCAGCCACCAAGAAAUGCCCAGCUCCUCUAUUUAUGAUGAACCUGACUUAAUCAGGAGUAGAAGGCACAUUUCUUCUUUUCAGAGUUACACAAGGGCCCUGGGUUUCCUGUUGACAUGAAGAUAUUCACACCCUUCAGAGGAUGGAACCCUUCACAAACAGCUUAUCAUCUGUUCCACUUUCUGCUCUUAGAGAUGAAAUAGGAAGUUUCUUCUUUGUUCAAAGAUUAAGGAAACCACUGUUUCCCUGUUGAGAUGGGGAAAGACGUACCAUCCUGGGAUCUUCAUGUCUCAGAAGGAUUAUAUACAUUUUCCCUUGUCUUCCCUGCAAAGGAAUGAGAGAAAGAACAGUCCCAGGGUUUGGCCACUGAAGGCUGGAAAGGGAUGGCAGGGCCCUCCCACACUUAGUCAUUACUCAUGCAUGAGGGCAGCUCCCAGCCCUCAGCUCUGGAGGGGUGGUGAGGGCUGGUUUUCCUGGGCUCUGCUAGGUAUCUGCUUGGUAUCUUGGGGAACUAUCUCAAAUUGAGUGAAAGAGCAGUGAGUGUUGCUUCCAUUUUCGGUACACCACUGAAAAUGAAGUACUUGUACAAGCUGGACAUUUGAGUUUCACUUCUCUUGUAAUGUUGAAUACAGACUCCUAAUUUAAAGACAUGUAUCUAAGGGACAAAUAAUUGCACUGAUCCAAGAAGGGCUGGGCUCCUGGCUAAACUCUAUCCUGAAGCCUGGAACCUUGGCCCUAAGUGAAAACAGCCAACCCCAUUUUUCCACCCAAAUGAUUUCCUUUUUGGCCCACCCCGCCCCCUAUCCUGUGCCCACAAAAAACCAGACUUCAGCUGGUAGAGGGAAAAAAAACACACACAUACAAAAGCUGCUGACUGUCGGGGAUACAAGCAGCUGAGUGGUGAGCAGAGAAGCAGCAACUGCGUACUGUAGAAUAUGGAUAAACGCAGCUAACUUCAGACGGUGCGGCUUCAGAGGGGAGCCUGGCUGGAGACAGGCUGGGCUUCAGGGAAAGAUCACCUUCUUCCCACUCGAUCCCCUUUCCAGCUCCCCUUCCACCGAGAGCCACUUGCACUGCUCAAUAGUCUUCUGCACCAAUCAUCUUUCAAACAGUUCAUGUGACCUGAUUCUCCCAGAAUAUUGAACAACAACUCGGGUGUCAAAAAGAGCAGGUGCAGAAGGCUGUCACCCUAACCUUUUACUGAGCUGUUAACACUUAGCCAUCCACAGACUGCAGGCUGCAGGCUGAGUGAAAUGAGUCACUCCAGUUCCACGAAGGGGGUCAAAGUCAAGGAAAAAUCUCAUCUUAACACAACCCAUAAUGUAAUAGUGUGCAAUAUCUUUUCUAGUAAUCACAGUUUUUGUAAAAAAUCAGUAUAAAGCUGUCAAGUUUUCUUUCUUAGAAAAGAUCUGUUAUAUUUUUCUGAAAUCAUCUUCUUUAUCUUUUGCAGGGAGGAAUGUCCUUCCUUUUAUGAAAUUAAAUAAGAGCCCCUAUAAUUUGCAAGAAACUGUUCUAAGUCCUAAGGAAUUGGCAGCGAACAAAAUGCAGCAAGUCUCUAAACUUGUAGAGCAAAUUUUUUUCCAGAAUAAAAUGUAGCUUUAUUAUGACAUAGGAAAGACUGCAAACCAUUAGGGGAGGACGAGGAGUCAAAUUGAUGCAGGAUUAUUUUCUUGACUGUUUCGUGGGACUCGUGACAGGGGUGCCCUGUUUACUCAGCCCACCCCGCUUAACCCCUUGUAGGAGGGAGCACACAAGCAAAUGAAUGGAGGAACCGGCUGGCUGCUCCAUUCCUUCAGGUCUGCCAUGCUCCACCCCUCACAGGAGGGAGCAUGUAGGCAAGUGAGUGCAGGAACCAGCUGGCUGCUUUGGUGCCAGCAGGAGCAAACUCCAGGCAGGCCCCGCAGCAGUGUCUAGGUGGGGGUGCCUGUGACCCCAGAGCCCCAGAGGGCGUGUUACAAUGCUCUCUUAGCUCCACUGUCCACAGACAGCAGUGUGUUAUCAGCUCAGUGGGCCCUUUGCCUCAUCGUAUGGGGCAGCUGCCCUCUGCCAGUGAGGGAAAGGGACCAGUGUUGACAGCCUUUUUGGGUAUCAGCCCUUGGUGCAUACUGAAUCCUUGUUUGGUGCCCAAGAAGAAUGAGGUCACAUGAACGAAUUGAAGGAUGGUGGAUGAGGAUAAUUUUAUUGAUCAAUGAAAGCAGAUCUCAGCCGAAAGGGGAGCUGGAAAGGAGAUGGGAAGG
rnacentral:lncRNA from 1 species